rnacentral:rRNA from 1 species
GGAGGUCACUGCUAUUGGGAUUCGACUAAGCCAUGCGAGUCGAGAGGGUUCGGCCCUCGGCUGACGGCUCAGUAACACGUGGAUAAUCUGCCCUUAGGUGGAGGAUACCCUCGGGAAACUGAGAAUAAUACUCCAUAGGUCUGGGAUGCUGGAACGCACUUAGGCUCAAAGCUCCGGCGCCUAAGGAUGAGUCUGCGGACUAUCAGGUUGUAGUCAGGGUAAAGACCUGACUAGCCUACGACGGAUACGGGUUGUGAGAGCAAUAACCCGGAGAUGAUAUCUGAGACACGAUAUCAGGCCCUACGGGGCGCAGCAGGCGCGAAAACUUCACAAUGUGCGAAAGCACGAUGAGGGAAUCCCAAGUGCUUGCUCGUAAGAGUAAGCUGUUUUUAUGUUUAAAAUGCAUAGAGAGUAAGGGCUGGGUAAGACGGGUGCCAGCCGCCGCGGUAAUACCUGCAGCUCUAGCGGUGGCCGCUAUUAUUGGGCCUAAAACGUCCGUAGCCGGUUUAAUAAAUGCCUGGGUAAAUUGUGUAGCUUAACUAUACGAAUUCCGGGUAGACUGUUAGACUUGAGACCGGGAGAAGUUAGAGGUACUCCUGGGGUAGAGGUGAAAUUCUGUAAUCCUAGGGGGACCACCAGUGGCGAAGGCGUCUGACUAGAACGGGUCUGACGGUGAGGGACGAAGCCCUGGGGCGCAAACCGGAUUAGAUACCCGGGUAGUCCAGGGUGUAAACGCUGCUUGCUUGAUGUUAGUCGGGCUCCGAGCCCGAUUAGUGUCNGAGAGAAGUUGUUAAGCAAGCUGCCUGGGAAGUACGGUCGCAAGGCUGAAACUUAA